AAUGGCUCAUUAAAUCAGUUAUCGUUUAUUUGAUAGUACCUUACUACUUGGAUAACCGUGGUAAUUCUAGAGCUAAUACAUGCUAAAAACCCCAACUUCGGGAGGGGUGUAUUUAUUAGAUAAAAAACCAAUGCCCUUCGGGGCUCCUUGGUGAUUCAUGAUAACUUCUCAGAUCGCAUGGCUUUACGCCGGCGACGGUUCAUUCAAAUUUCUGCCCUAUCAACUUUCGAUGGUAAGGUAUUGGCUUACCAUGGUUUCAACGGGUAACGGGGAAUUAGGGUUCGAUUCCGGAGAGGGAGCCUGAGAAACGGCUACCACAUCCAAGGAAGGCAGCAGGCGCGCAAAUUACCCAAUUCCGAUACGGAGAGGUAGUGACAAUAAAUACUGAUACAGGGCUCUUUUGGGUCUUGUAAUUGGAAUGAGUACAAUUUAAACCUCUUAACGAGGAACAAUUGGAGGGCAAGUCUGGUGCCAGCAGCCGCGGUAAUUCCAGCUCCAAUAGCGUAUAUUAAAGUUGUUGCAGUUAAAAAGCUCGUAGUUGAACCUUUGGCCUGGCUGGCAGGUCCGCCUCACCGCGUGCACUUGUCCGGCCGGGCCUUUUCUUCUGGAGAACCGCAUGCCCUUCACUGGGUGUGUUGGGGACCAGGACUUUUACUUUGAAAAAAUUAGAGUGUUCAAAGCAGGCCUUUGCUCGAAUACGUUAGCAUGGAAUAAUAGAAUAGGACGUGCGGUCCUAUUUUGUUGGUUUCUAGGACCGCCGUAAUGAUUAAUAGGGACAGUCGGGGGCAUCAGUAUUCAAUUGUCAGAGGUGAAAUUCUUGGAUUUAUUGAAGACUAACUACUGCGAAAGCAUUUGCCAAGGAUGUUUUCAUUAAUCAGUGAACGAAAGUUAGGGGAUCGAAGACGAUCAGAUACCGUCGUAGUCUUAACCAUAAACUAUGCCGACUAGGGAUCGGGCGGUGUUUCUAUUGUGACCCGCU
rnacentral:rRNA from 1 species